rnacentral:misc_RNA from 1 species
UGGCUCUCGCAUCGAUGAAGAACGCAGCGAAAUGUGAUAAGUAAUGUGAAUUGCAGAAUUCAGUGAAUCAUCGAAUCUUUGAACGCAUCUUGCGCUCCUUGGUAUUCCGAGGAGCAUGUCUGUCUGAGUGUCGUGAACUCUUCAUCACAAAGCUUUUCUUUUUGAUAGCUGUGUGCAUGGUUUCUGAAUGUUUUGCUGGCUCUAAGCUCAUUCGAAAUGUAUUGUGUGACAUGUCAGUUUCUGGAUUGACUUGGUGUAAUGAGAAAUUUCACUAAGGAACAUUUGCUUUUGCAAUGUGCCAGAAGCCAAACAAUGUUGUGCAUCUAAAGUUUAUUAUAACCUGUAUUUUGACCUCAGAUCAGUCAGGACUACCCGCUGA